rnacentral:rRNA from 1 species
CCUACGGGAGGCAGCAGUGGGGAAUAUUGGGCAAUGGGCGCAAGCCUGACCCAGCAACGCCGCGUGAAGGAAGACUGCUCUCGGGUUUUAAAACUCUUUUGACAGGGAAGUGCAGUGGACGGUACAUGUUGCUUAACCUAUGGCUAACGACGAGCCAGCAGCCGCGGUAAUGCGGAGGUGGCAAGCGUUGUCCGGAUUUAGUGGGUGUAAAGGGCGUGUUGUGGGGCUGAGAAGUCAGAUGUGAAAUCCUGCGGCUCAACCGCCGAAUUGCAUUUGAAACUGGAGUUCUUGAGUAUCGGAGAGGCAGGCGGAAUUCCUGGUGUAGCGGUGAAAUGCGUAGAUAUUAGGAGGAACACCAGUGGCGAAGGCGGCCUGCUGGACGACAACUGACGGUGAGGCGCGAAAGUGUGGGGAGCAAACAGGAUUAGAUACCCGUGUAGUC